UCCUUUUUGUUUUCCUACAAUGGAAAUUGAUCAUGACUUUUUCUUUUUUCAAAUAAGUUUGCUUUCGUGAAGGAAUUAUUAUUUGCCUUUUGACUAUGGGUAGAAACACUGAAUGAGAUGAGAGAGUACUCGGCUGGUAGUAUUUUCUUAUGCUAGCUUCGUUUCUCAUUGCUUACCCCGUUCCUGUUUUCCUGUAUAUAUUUGUUGUCAAAAUGGUACCGGUAGGAUUUUCCUUUUACUUUUUCUUUUUUAUGUGCUUACUGCAAUGCAAGAGAACAUUCUUGGUUUCCAUUACUAUUUUCCUAGAUAGGUAUGGUGUGUGGUGUGAAACGUUGGGUAUCUGCGGGGCUUUGGGAGAAUACAAGCAAACAUGCUGCCUUGCCAUUCUUGAUUUUAUAUUGAGGGAAUGGAAAUCGGAGAAACCACUCAAAUGAACUGUCUUGGUCCCAAUCUCAUCAUGGGAAAUGAUUUGAAGUUUAUAGGAGAUUGACCAUUGCUGCAGGCUGUUGAAACCCUUCUGUUCCAGCUGUCAGAAAACAGUUCAAAGGACAAGCAAUUGCUUUGCAGUGGUGAAGCGGAGGAAAAGUAAGUUAUAAGGACAAUGAAUGAUGGUGAAUUUGAUGGAGAUGAAUAGAGCAUUCCGCCUCAAGAAAUUGUGGCAAGAGGUUUGAGGCAGUUGGCCUUUCUGUGCUUGAAGGGGCAGGGAGUCCUUGAGAAGGGAGGGAUCUGGGAUAGGUCAGGAAUGCUCUAUGAGAUCAUAAUGGGUUCUGAUUAUUUUGGUUAUUGUUUUAUGUUUAAUCUAGUUUUGGGUUUUUCUUUUAUUCAAUAGAAGGUCCGAUAGGCUGGCAGAUGAAUCCGCACCCCAACCCUCACAGGAUUUGAACCUGAGAUCGAUCUCCUGGUGCAAAUCGAGUUGUUAAGAGUAUCGGUAGAGAAUCAUGGCUUGCUGUGCUUGUAACAAACAUGGGAUCAUCACAGAAGAUAUGGUUUUCAUUUUGGGAAGUGAUCUGGUUUCCUUCAUCAGUUGUUUCCAACCAAGUUUCCAUUUUGGAAGAAAACAUCAAUUGCCUUUUUUAUUUACGGAUAGAAAGAAAACACUUGAAAGAUGAGUGGGAUUGCUAGGAUUUACAUUAAAUUAUGGCAACAGCUUUUGGAA